GAGCUACUAUGAAGAAGAAUUAUUGGGAGGAAAAGCACCAGGCUCCAACAAACUUGUUAACAACGAGGAGAAGAGGGAUGGAAGGAAGUCGUCCGAAAAUAUUUGAAUUCACCUUUUCGAUCCAAGAAAGUCUCAGUGCCUCCAAAUGCCAUCAGCCGCGUUAUUGGGCGAGGUGGAUCCAAUAUCAACACCAUUAGAACAACAACAGGUGCUUUCAUCGAAAUAGAAAAACAAAGUAAAGGUCAAGGAGAACGUAUAAUCACAAUCAAGGGCUCAAUGGAAUCUACGAAGCAAGCUCAAAAUUUGAUCCAGGCUCUCAUCACUGAUCCUGAACUAGACUUAGUGCAGAUGCUGCCCAAAACUGCCAAGACCCUAGCCACGGCAUGGCCUGAGAAAACACCGGCUAAUAAUAAAACUAAAAUCGCGGUCGUCUCUAAAACUACAACUGGGUCAUCACAAGCACAACUCCUGCAGAAUGUUUCCACAAGUACAUCUGUUUCAACUUCACAAGUUUUAAAUGCAUCUUCCUCAACCAAUCUUACUGGGUCACGAAACUUAGUUUCCUCAUCGCCCCUCCCCACAACUCCAGCCUCUCCACGACAAGUAGCUACCGGUAAGUUAAUAUAAGUUAAUACUCUCAUAUUAGCACCAGGGUUUUUUCAGGCAACAAAUACUGUAUGAUUCAUUAAAUAUACACUAUACUGGAU
rnacentral:lncRNA from 1 species